UACGUAGGGUGCAAGCGUUGUCCGGAUUUAUUGGGCGUAAAGAGCUCGUAGGCGGUUUGGCAAGUCGGGUGUGAAACCUCCAGGCUCAACCUGGAGUCGCCAUCCGAUACUGCUAUGACUUGAGCCUGGUAGGGGAUCACGGAAUUCCUGGUGUAGCGGUGAAAUGCAUAGAUAUCAGGAGGAACACCGGUGGCGAAGGCGGUGAUCUGGGCCAGUACUGACGCUGAGGAGCGAAAGCGUGGGGAGCGAACAGG
rnacentral:rRNA from 1 species